GAAUGAUAUAAUAUUGCAGUUUUACACUUUGGAGUCAUUAUUUGACAUAUAGUAAAGCAGGUGUUAUGUAGGUACGGUGUGAUGGAAAGUAUAGAAACCCACUGUCCUGUACAAGGUGUGGGUUAAAGUGGCAUGUGUGUAUUUGUACAGCUGGUGUCUGAAUUAUUCGUAGACCGGAGAAAAGCUCCCCUGAAAACCACAGCUGUGAUUCUGUAAGUGUAAUACUACUAAUAGUAAGUACUUCUGGGAACAUCUCUUUGCAUCCUUUAAACAUUAGUUUAAAACAAAAAAAGGAUCUGAAUGUUUUUGGAUGCAAUCAUCUACCACGUGGCUUUGUACUGUUGUGUUUGUGAGCUUAAUAAAUAACUAAGAGUGAAACAAACUUUCUCAUUUUUAUCCAUUUAGGUUCCCUUUAUUUGAGUUUGAAAAAUGAAAAUCAGGGAUUUUAUGAGAAACAGACUCCAAAUCAGUACUGCAUGUCCUAUUUUAUUAAACUUAUAUUCUUCUUUAUAUUAUAUUCUUCUUUUUCUAGGUGAGGUUUUUUUAUUUUGUUGUAUUUAGCAGGUGUUGAGAAAAAACUCCUCUGGAAUUGUGUAAAAGUAAAAGUUUAAACAUUUUAACAUUUAAAAUGUUAAAAUGUUCAAUGUUCACCUUAAAAAAGGUGAACAUUGAACAUUUUAACAUUUUAAGGCCAAAUAUAGGGUAACGUGCUUGUCCAUCCCAUAAUAUCACCGAUGAGAGCGGGAUUUGUUUUGUUUCAACCGGACGCGGAUUGGCCCAUCUAUACACCCAUACAUGUAUGUACCUUGCUUACAUAAACACCACAGAAGAAGACGUAUCCUAAAGAACCCAUUUUAAUAAUGUGGACUGGAGCGACCAUGAACCGUUCCCCGCCAGUCCUCAUCACUCAUCCCGCAGUUUCCUCCCGCACAUUCUGCAGAAGACGCUCCAUGGGCCAUGGAUGUGUACUUAUCUGGCUUGUUGUUCAGCCUGGAGCUCUGCGAAUAAACACAGACGAGGAAGUGCAAGGGAUUGGAUCCAUAAUGGCAGCAGCAGUGGAAGGCACCCUGUGUCUCUCUCAUCAUUGCAUAGGUUGUCCAGCACUGUGGCUCCAGACCAGUUUACGCAAAACAAUCAAGCCAAGGAGUGGAAGCAAAGGGGCUGUCAUUGUCCAGGGAUGUGAACCUGCAACCUUUUCAAUUUCACCCCACACUUCAAAGCCCUUCCGCCUGGACGAUCGCACGUCCCGGACAAAGGUCAAAAGACUUGGCAAAGUUCCAAAAGCCUGGUGGCAUUAUACCAGGACGUGAAAUGAAUGAAAAUGAGACUAACAGGCCCAGUUCCCCACGACAUUUCUGAAUGUGCUCCCCAAUGAGGACAAGCAUGGCUCCCGCUGGGUCAGCAGGACACUGAUUGGGUGAGAGGCUUUGUGCCUACCGCGAGCGAACGAGAGGAUGGACCCGGCGGCCGUCUUGUUUGUUUAAGAGCAGGGAGCCGCGUGGAAAUGCCUAAUGUCUUAAUUGGCGUGAGUGGCAACGGACGGUACCUGACGAGACUCAUUAAUCAGAGCAGGGUGAAAAGGCUAGUGGGUUGCAUGGCGAGGGCGAGAGAUGUGUGUGUGCGUGUGUGUCGCACUUUGUCCUUCUGGCUUGUACCAAUCUGAAACACCCACUGACACCCUCGCAGCUGUGUCUGUCACACUCGGCACAGUGUGCAGAAUGAUAAAGCAAC
rnacentral:lncRNA from 1 species